AACCUGGUUGGUCCUGCCAGAAUCAUAUGCUUGUCCCGAAGCUUAAGCCAUGCAUGUCUCCGAACAAUAGUAGCUUGAUCUAGAAUCUGCGAACGGCUCCGUAUAUCUGUUACAAACCCCCACCGCCGACCGACCAUCGGCAUAACCACGGUAAUUCUGUGGCUAAUACGUGUACUACGGGCGCUGCCUGCCCGCAAGGGCGGGCGGCCCCGGUCUUGCCGGACGACCAACGGCGGUGCAAACCGCUCGCGCGAGCGCUGGCAAGGGUACCUGACCGGGCAAACAAGUCCGGCGCGUGUGAUGCGCACCAGACCUAUCAACUAGAUACCCAGGCAUUGCCUGGACAUGGUGACUACGGGUACAGAGAAUUAGGGUUCGAUUCUGGAGAGGUAGCCUGAGAGAUCGCUACCACUUCUAAGGAAGGCAGCAGGCGCGCAACGUUCCCAAUGGGGAUACCCUGAGGACGUGAAGGGAUAUACCAAUGCCCGGCCUUUAAAGCCGGGCAAUUGGAAUGGGGAACAUCUAAACCCCACACCGAGUAACAAUUGGAGGACAAGUCUGGUGCCAGCACCCGCGGUAAUUCCAGCUCCGAUAGCAUCUUAUUAAGUUGUUGCAGUUAAAACGCUCGUAGUCCAAACCAGUGCGCCCGCUAGGUUCCUAGUACUGCCUGACCAUGCGCUCCCUCCUAACCGGAGUGGGGUGCGGGCUGGCGGGGACGGUUCUGGGCGGCCACUAUUGAGCCGGGGGAACCGGGCGGGUGGGGCUUCAGUGCUCCGCCUGCCUGCCCCUGGCACAUUACUUUGAACAAACGUGAGCGCUCCAAGCAGGCCAUAUCGGCCCUUAAAACCCGCAGCAAAGAAUAACCCAACAGGUACUCACCUGUUCGUUGGUACAGGUAUCGGGUAAAUGAUCUAUAGGGGCGAUCGGGGUGGGCCACAUGCCAGGGGUAGGGGUGAAAUCCGUUGAUCCUUGGCAGGUGAACUAGAGCGAAAGCAGCCCACAAGUACGCAUCCUUUGAUCAAGAACGAAAGUCUGGGGAUCGAAGAUGAUCAGAUACCAUCGUAGUCCAGACCCUAAAUGAUGCCGGCCAUGGAUGGGCUCUCGUCCAUCCCGACCCAGCCCGCACUUUAUAGGAAACUAUAAGCGUUUGGGCUCCGGGGGGAGUAUGGUCGCAAGACUGAAACUUAAAGGAAUUGACGGAAGAGCACACAAGGAGUGGAGCCUGCGGCUUAAUUUGACUCAACACGGGGAAACUCACUAGGGCAAGAGAAUGGUAGGAUAGACAGCCGAUCAGGGCUUUCAUGAUUCGUUCAGUGGUGGUGCAUGGUCGUUCUUAGUUCGUGGAUUGAUUUGUCUGGUCUAUUCCGCUAACGAGCGAGAACCCACCCUCUCGUGGUUAGGAUCCUUGAGCAUGCCGCUACCCUAAUGGCCCGCAAGGGACUCCUGGGGUUCUGGCUGAAAAAGCUCCUGGACUCGAUCCGGAGGGACCGGCUUCGAUAAGGAGCUGGCAGCGGGUCAAUAACAGGUCAGUGAUGCCCUUAGAUGCUCUAGGCCGCACGCGCGCUACAAUGGGGCAAGUACCGGGUCCCUGUGCCUUAAGGCCACGGGGAAUCCGGGAAAGUGCCCCUUAUCCGGGAUAACGCCGUGUAACUCGGCGUUUGAACAAGGAAUUUCUAGUAGUCAUGGGUCACCAGCCCGUGACGAUUCUGUCCCUGCUCUUUGUACACACCGCCCGUCGCUCCUACCGAUUGGGCUGCGAGGUGAGUUGCUUGGAGCUAAACCGGGGGCAACCCCGGCGCGAAGAGAGGCGAACCCUGCGGCCUAGAGGAAGGAGAAGUCGUAACAAGGUAUCCGUAUGUGAACCUCCGAAAGGAUCACCU
rnacentral:rRNA from 10 species